rnacentral:miRNA from 1 species
AAAUUUUGAGAUUUUCCGCACA